AAAACUCAAAAGGAAUUGACGGGGGCCCGCACAAGCGGUGGGAUGAUGUGGAUUAAUUCGAUGCAACGCGAAAAACCUUACCUACCCCUUGACAUGCCCGGAAGCCCGAUGAAAGUUGGGGUGUGCUCGAAAGAGAGCCGGGACACAGGUGCUGCAUGGCUGUCGUCAGCUCGUGUCGUGAGAUGUUGGGGUUAAGUCCCGCAACGAGCGCAACCCUUGCCAUUAGUUGCUACAUUUAGUUGGGCACUCUAAUGGGACUGCCGGUGACAAACCGGAGGAAGGUGGGGAUGACGUCAAGUCCUCAUGGCCCUUAUGGGUAGGGCUUCACACGUCAUACAAUGGCGGAUACAGAGGGUUGCCAACCCGCGAGGGGGAGCCAAUCCCAGAAAGUCCGUCGUAGUCCGGAUCGGAGUCUGCAACUCGACUCCGUGAAGUCGGAAUCGCUAGUAAUCGCGGAUCAGCAUGUCGCGGUGAAUACGUUCCCGGGCCUUGUACACACCGCCCGUCACACCAUGGGAGUGGGUUUCACCAGAAGCAGCUAGUCUAACCGCAAGGAGGGCGGUUGCCACGGUGAGAUUCAUGACUGGGGUGAAGUCGUAACAAGGUAGCCG
rnacentral:rRNA from 1 species